rnacentral:misc_RNA from 1 species
UCAACAAACUCCCUUUUUCAUUUUUUUUGGGUUUUUCACAGCCGUGGGAGUAAUUACAUUUUUGACCUUCCAAACUCCAAAAUCAUCAACAAUUCAAUGGCCGUCUCUAGUUACGCUAGGGCAUUUCCGUCAUUCGAAUGUCGUUCGGAGCCUGAUUUCUCCGGCAGCCUUCCACAUCCUAAAGCCGGCGUUCGGUUCUCCGGCAAGUAUAACUCCGGGAGUAACCGAUCUCAGGUUUAUGGACUGUCUUCUUUGAUCUAUAGGUUUCCGCCUAAUUUCGUGAGGCAGCUAAGCAUUAAGGCUAGGAGGAAUUGCAGCAACAUCGGCGUGGCUCAAGUUGUGGCGGCUUCCUGGUCUAACAACCAAGCCGGUCCUGAGUUCACUCCGGCGGCUAAUGCUGUCGAUUCAUCCGCUUCCGCUGCUGUUACUUCGAUUGGUAUCACCACAGGUGACGAGGAGGUGGCGGUUGUGGAAAAUGCGGAUUGUAGUGAUCAAAAUGUACAGAUUAAGGGUUCGACAGGUGUUAAAUAUGCUUCAUUUUUGAAUUCAGAUGGAAGCGUUGCUAUUCAUGCCGGUGAAAGGUUGGGACGCGGUAUUGUUACUGAUGCCAUAACUACCCCAGUGGUUAACACAUCUGCUUACUUCUUCAACAAAACUUCUGACCUUAUUGAUUUUAAGGAGAAAAGACGUGCAAGUUUUGAAUAUGGCCGCUAUGGGAACCCCACUACUGUUGUUUUGGAGGAGAAAAUUAGUGCACUUGAGGGUGCUGAAUCAACCUUGAUAGUGGCAUCUGGAAUGUGUGCUAGUACUGUCAUGUUCCUGGCCUUGGUUCCUGCUGGUGGGCAUAUUGUUACUACUACAGACUGCUACAGGAAGACACGUGUUUUUAUUGAGACAAUAUUACCUAAAAUGGGAAUUACGGCCACAGUUAUUGAUCCAGCAGAUAUGGGAGCUUUGGAGUUAGCAUUAAAUCAGAAGAAAGUGGAUCUUUUCUUUACUGAGUCUCCAACAAAUCCAUUCCUGAGAUGUGUUGACAUUGAGCUGGUUUCAAAGCUUUGCCGUGAAAAAGGAGCCUUGGUUUGCAUAGAUGGAACAUUUGCAACUCCUCUUAACCAGAAGGCCCUUGCUCUAGGGGCUGACCUUGUUGUGCACUCUGCUACAAAAUUCCUUGGUGGGCACAACGAUGUUCUUGCAGGUUGUAUUAGUGGUCCUGAAAAAUUAGUUUCAGUAAUCCGAAACUUGCAUCAUAUCCUGGGUGGUGCUCUCAAUCCUAAUGCUGCAUAUCUUAUCAUCCGAGGCAUGAAGACGCUGCAUCUUCGUGUACAGCAACAAAAUUCUACUGCAUUGAGGAUGGCCGAAAUUUUAGAGGCUCAUCCCAAGGUGAAACACGUCUAUUAUCCAGGCUUGCCGAGUCAUCCGGAAUAUCACCUUGCAAAGAAACAAAUGACUGGCUUUGGUGGUGUG